CAGUCGCCACGGUAAUACGUAGGUGGCAAGCGUUGUCCGGAAUUAUUGGGCGUAAAGGGCUCGCAGGCGGUUUCUUAAGUCUGAUGUGAAAGCCCCCGGCUCAACCGGGGAGGGUCAUUGGAAACUGGGAAACUUGAGUGCAGAAGAGGAGAGUGGAAUUCCACGUGUAGCGGUGAAAUGCGUAGAGAUGUGGAGGAACACCAGUGGCGAAGGCGACUCUCUGGUCUGUAACUGACGCUGAGGAGCGAAAGCGUGGGGAGCGAACAGGAUUAGAGACCCCCGUAGUCCCUGUCUCUUUACA
rnacentral:rRNA from 1 species